AAAUGAUGGUCUGACUUCGCUAUAGAGAAUGUAAGCUCCACCAGGCAGUUUCUGAUGUUUUAUAGUUUGAACCCAUCCAUCAAUA
rnacentral:pre_miRNA from 1 species